GAUAGUAUGGAUCCAUGAAAGGUGAUCUCUUCUGUUGGAGCAAUUGGCAACCAACUGGAGAAUCCCCAUUUGAUCUCUCUCUCUCUCUCUCUCUCUCUCUCUCUCUCUCUCUCUCUCUCUCUAACUUGUUAUUAGCUGUUUUAUUUCAGCCUUUUGUCAUUAGCACUUGUUGCUAACAAUUAUGUAAGGCCUAGUUAGACUAUAACUCUCUAAACCUAUUUCUAUUUUAUUAAAAUAUUGAUAGAUUUACACCUAUCAUGGGGGCUCUCACUAGGUAGAACAAAAUAUUUUUUUUUUAAAAUUUUUUUACCAUCAUUUUUUAACUUUUAAAUAUUUUUUUUUUUUUAAAUUCACAAUAUUAUUAAAUAAUAUUUUCUUAAUCACUAAGUAAAAAAAAAAAAAAAAGAAAUUUUAGACGAAGCUCCCAGCGAAAUCCCUAACUUUUACCUUAAAAUAUUGAUUUUCACCUUUCCAUUUAUUUUAAUUCUAAUCAUAAUUUAGAGCACUUCCAACGGAUUUUGUAAAACUUAACUUUUUGUAAAAUUUAAAGGUGAUAGCUCAAAAUACGCAUACAAUGGAUUAUGUAUUUCAAAGUUAUUAUUGAGUUUAUUACAAUAACGCCUCUACAUUUAGUGGACGUUGUAGGCAAAUGUAUAAAUUUUUUAUUCAUUUUUUUUCUCUAUGCUUUCUACUUCUUUCUUCCCCACAGAAGAUUCUUUCGUUUAAGCCCCAAUAUAUUUCGUGCGCCAUCUUCACUUCCUCUCAAGACUGGUUCUGCUCUUCAACUCAAAAGAAGGCAACGAUUGCAAAGUGCCAAAAAACAACACAGCUCAAGCAUCUAAUUCCUAGGGCAAACAGACUUGAUGUAGUCGAUGGAGACAACUUUGAUGAACAAGACGGAGCUGCGAAACAAUUAGAGCUACUUGAAUCCAGGGAAGGAGUCAUCAAAACAGAUCAUACUAAAACCACCAUUUAAAGCAGAGUCUAGAAAAGAGAUUGUGCGCGCAUGGCUUCGAGUGAAUGAAUCCACAACGCUUCAAAAACAUUGCUCCUCCUUUCUUUUGAAGUUUUGACAGUCAAGCAUGUUGUGAUCCCUUUAAUCGAUAAUCCUAGUCAAGCUAGCUAGUGCCGUCGAUGUAAUAAGAUUCAAAUACUAGCAUCCUUAUUAAUCUUGUGUCCCAAACACCUCCAUACAAAAUGUUGGUAUCGUUUGAAUUUUUCAUUUCAUUGUAAUUUUUUAUUUUAUUAGUGUAUUUCAUUAACACAAUGAUAGAACAUAGAUUAAAGAGAAGAGUUUUGUAAUUCUAUUAAUUUCCCCACCAUACCAUUUUACAGUGUGUGAGGUCAGUAUAUAUUGACUUG